GAUGAACGCUAGCGACAGGCUUAACACAUGCAAGUCGAGGGGCAUCACGGGAGUAGCAAUACAACUGGUGGCGACCGGCGCACGGGUGAGUAACGCGUAUGCAACCUACCUAUCAGAGGGGAAUAACCCGGCGAAAGCCGGACCAAUACCGCAUAAAACAGGGGCACCGCAUGGUGAUAUGUGUUAAAGAAAUUCGCUGAUAGAUGGGCAUGCGUUCCAUUAGGUAGUUGGUGAGGUAACGGCUCACCAAGCCGACGAUGGAUAGGGGAACUGAGAGGUUGGUCCCCCACACUGGUACUGAGACACGGACCAGACUCCUACGGGAGGCAGCAGUGAGGAAUAUUGGUCAAUGGGCGGGAGCCUGAACCAGCCAAGUCGCGUGAAGGAAGAAGGAUCUAUGGUUCGUAAACUUCUUUUGCAGGGGAAUAAAGUGCAGGACGUGUCCUGUUUUGUAUGUACCCUGAGAAUAAGGAUCGGCUAACUCCGUGCCAGCCGCCGCGGUAAGAC
rnacentral:rRNA from 1 species